GAGAGCGAUCUCAGUGACCUCUAAACCUAGCGCCGCCAUGCCAGGCCGCCGCCUCUUCCAAGAUCCUGGUCCUCCCCACCACAGACUCGCUGUCGCAAGUCCACCCACCCACCGCCCUCCCUGCCUCCCCUCUCGCUCGCCAGCCUCCAGCAAUAGCCUCGGGGUCUCAGGGACGCCAGCUUCUAGGCGGCGCCCAGCCCCACUCCGGCCGCCUCUACCGAUAGCUCCGGCACACGGUGCGCUGCGGCUGAAAGGGAAGAUGACGGAUGGCGGGGUCGGCACAGAACUGCACAUCCCCAACUCCUCCUACUGAUGAGUGUGGGUGGUGCAGCGGCGUUGCCAACUUUGUGGGCGAAGGGAAAACAUGGAUAUGAAGGGGAAGGCCUAGCAAAGGCAAAGGGGAGAGUUCGCCCCACCUCAGAAAAAAUUCGUCCUCCGCCACUGAUCCUCAGGGAAAAAAUGUCCGCCCCGGUGAAUUGCCACCCUCUCUGUCUCUGAGAACCCUUCGUCUUGCAACCAAAAUUCAUCCAUGCGUCGUCUGCCAUGUGAAGCUUGUUGCCAUCAGGUAGACUGACCUCGUGCCCGCCACUAUCGACCAGCGGGAAGCUAGCGAGUGAUUUGGGGAACAUAAGUGACUUGCGCGAGCGCACAAGGCAGCCAAUUCAUCUAUAGAAACUUUUCUGAUGUUGUCUGAUAAAGAGCACCGUGGAUGGAUAUAUUAUCAUUUUUGGUAAAAUCUAAUCAUAUGUGAUUAUGUGAAACAUCUGGAUUAGAUGCGUUGCACUAUGUCUGAAGCAGCAAAAUGGCAUCAUGCUCGCUUUUGUGUUCGACUGAAGAGUAUUAAUGUGAACUAGCAUGAGAAUUCAGUUUUUUAUGGUAAAUGUCGUCUUAUAGUCUUAUGUGGAGAUAGUAUUAAGGCUUGGACAUUAUUAGUGUCGCAACCAUGAAAGUUCAGUCCCCGUAUGUUAACCUGAUGUUAUUUCUUUACAUAUUUUUUGUAAGGUAUAUCCAUCAACAACAACAUGAUGUUUCUUCCUUUUACAGUAUACGUAUCUAUACUUCGUAUGGUAACAUGACAUCAACCAGACUAGACUAAACUUCUGGAGGGCAUGUUUACUCGGUGUGAAAACUUGUACGUGCGAAUUCUAAAGGUAGCCACCACAAGGAUAAACUACAGAAGUAGAGAAAGCAAGGAGCUAUUAUUCCACUAUCAGCAUGUACAAACUAGAAAUCAUAUACUCCCUCUGUUCCUAAAUAUAAGUCUUUUUAGAGAUUUCGAUGUGAACUAUACACGGAGCAAAAUCAGUGAAUCUAUGCUCUAAAGUACAUCUAUAUACAUUAGUAUGUAGUCUCAAUUAAAAUCUGUAAAAAAGACUUAUCUUCAGAAACGGAGGGAGUAGAUAUAUUUCAGCUAGUUUGUGAAAUAUGUAAUUUUUUUAUUGAUGAUGUGUACAAUUGAGUUUGUAAAAUACUACUGCUCUAAUUAAUACAAUGCUAUUAUUUUGCG